rnacentral:tRNA from 2 species
UCUAGAAUAAUAGGCUUCGAACCUAAUCUUAAGAAUUCAAAGAUCUUCGUGCUACCAAACUUACACUAUAUUCUA